GAUUAUAGGUGUACUUGACGAUAAUAAAGUGGUGGAAGAAUAUGUAGGUACGCAGAUACAAAUAGGAAACGUGGAAGUAGUACAGGAAUUAGAUCUAACGAUUGUAUUGAUGGACGUGGGUGAAGUUGCUGAAAUUGUAGUCACGUCUACAUUUGCGUAUGGCACACGUGGAGAACAGCAUCUAUAUCAUCUAACGCCACUCGUACAUACACGGUUGACGUAAAGAAAAUAAAAGAGGAGCCUGAGAUAGAAACUUUAAGCAUUACGCAAAGGAGAGAAAUAGGCAACAAGAAACGCGAACGUGGAAACUGGUUUUUUAUGCGAAGAGACGUCAAUCACGCGAUACAAUGUUAUCGGAGAGCGUUACAAUAUCUACUCAUACUGCAAGCUCUGUUAGAUGAUUGUGUAAAGGUGUAUAACAUGUUAGCAGCUGCAUUGCGUGAAACUGAUGCCUACAACACAGCUUUAGAAAAUGUAAACAAAGUUCUAAAGUAUCAACCAAACAAUACGAAAACUCUGUACAGAAAAGGAUAUUGGAACGUAUUUAUUUUAUUAUAGGAUGACGAUAAUGAAGAGAAAAACUCUGACGUAGACGUAGACGAUGUCGAUAUGGCGGAGGAUAAUAAGGACUAUUCUAUGUGAACCUCAAACAUUUAUCAAAAUUGCGGGCUACAUUUUUCCCGCAGCGUGGCAACUCGGUUGGCGAGGCGCAUCGUGUCGA